UACGUAGGGUGCGAGCGUUGUCCGGAAUUAUUGGGCGUAAAGAGCUCGUAGGCGGUCUGUCGCGUCGGUCGUGAAAACUUGGGGCUUAACCCUGAGCUUGCGGUCGAUACGGGCAUGACUGGAGUUCGGCAGGGGAGACUGGAAUUCCUGGUGUAGCGGUGAAAUGCGCAGAUAUCAGGAGGAACACCGGUGGCGAAGGCAGGUCUCUGGGCAUUAACUGACGCUGAGGAGCGAAAGCAUGGGGGAGCGAACAGG
rnacentral:rRNA from 1 species